AGCCUGUGAUGAAGAAAAUUGAAUAAGAGUAGUGGACAGAAGUUAUUUCUGAGAGCUUGAAUCUGAGGGU
rnacentral:snoRNA from 1 species